GGGGGAGAGGGAAGAACUGGAGAGGGUGGUGUGAGAAAGCAGCUGCCUCUGGGCAGGGCUCCAGAAAGGGAGCCAGACAAGUGACUAGGGGGUUCCAGGCAAGGUCCAGGCAUGGGAGUCCUGACAACAGACUUAGUGCAUUUGUGAAAUCCUGCAAAGGCCGGGCAGACACCUGAGUUUAUAGUACUGGCUAGUAUUAAUAACGGCCUCACCCAGAGUGGUAGAUUUUUCUCCUUUGUUUUUCAAAUUUUAUAGAAAAGUACUUAUUUUUCAGACUGGGACUCACCCUGUCACCCAGGCUGGAGUGCAGUGGCAUGAUCUUGGCUCACUGCAGCCUCGAACUCCUGGGCUCAAGCGAUCCUCUCACCUCAGUCUCCCAAGUAACUGGGACAAGGUGCCACCACGCCUGGCUCAUUUUGUGUGUGUGUGUGUGUGUGUGUGUGUGUAGGUGUAGGUGUAGGUGGAAACUUUGUUGUCUAGGCUGGUCUCAAACUCCUGAGUUCAAGUAAUCCUAUUGUCUUGUGUAUUAGUCUAAUCUCACACUGCUAUGAAGAAAUAUCCAAGACUGGGUAAUUUAUAAUGAAUGAGCUAAAAAGUAAAGAGGUUUAAUUGACUCACAGUUCUGCAUGGCUGGGGAGGCCUCAGGAAACUUACAAUCAUGGUGGAAGGCACCUCUCCACAGGGUGGUAUGGAAGAGAAUGACAAGUGAAGGGGGAAGCCCCUUAUAAAACCGUCAGAUCUCGUGAGAACAUACUCACUGUCAUGAGAAUAACAUGGGGGAACCGCCCUCAUGAUUCAAUUACCUCCUACCAGGUCCCUCCCACAACAUGUGGGGAUUAUGGGAACUACAAUUCAAGAUGAGAUUUGGGUGGGGACGAGGCCAAACCAUAUCACCUUGGCCUUCCAAAGUGCUGGGAUUAAAGGUGUGAGCCACUGCGUCCAGCCAUAGAAACUUACGAUAAGUCAUGUUUCUUGUUUGAGAAAUAGCUACCAUGAACGCUAUUAUUAUUAAAGCUAUAUAUUAUUAGAAAGCAGACAUCUCACUGUAUCUGCUGAUUUUAAAUGCAUUGAUCAUCUGAUACAAAGUACGGUAAGCUUGGAAACAAGUAAUUUAACAGCGGUAGAUGAUGCAGGUCGUAGUGGGCCGCUUAUGCAUGACUGUUGGAUGGCAGGCUCCCUAGAUUGGGCUGAGGAGAUCCGAGGUCUCACCUCUGCCAAUGACUUGCUGUGUGCGCUUGGCCAGGUGACUCAUGGCACCUGGACGGAGGGAGUGGCAAGUGGCAUGGUGAUCACAGGGACGUGGUAUGUGAUUGAGGGAGAGGGCCGGCUGGCCUGACUGGAAGAGAAGACAGUUUCUUUCAUACCGAGGAGUAUGGACACUUACCAGGAGGCUUGCCUAAGGUAGGAGAAGAUCUUCCACCCUGCCCCAGGAGUGGGGAGUCUUUCAUCUUUUUGGGGGGCAUUUCUAUCCUCCCAGCCCCUCCAGCUGUUCUGGAAGCACCAGCUUUGUGCUUACAGCUACCACCGAGAAUCCAUCCCAAACUAGGAGAAGCAAAGACUGAUCCUGGACCGUCUCCCCGCUGUCGCCGGCUAGCCCACUCCAGCAUUGCCCGUCCUGCAGGCCCGUGCUUCGCACUACAGGAGAUUAUAUGCACAGAAACAGGAGGCACACAGCC
ensembl:lncRNA